CCUACGGGAGGCAGCAGUGGGGAAUAUUGCACAAUGGGCGCAAGCCUGAUGCAGCCAUGCCGCGUGUGUGAAGAAGGCCUUCGGGUUGUAAAGCACUUUCAGCGGGGAGGAAGGCGGUGAGGUUAAUAACCUCAUCGAUUGACGUUACCCGCAGAAGAAGCACCGGCUAACUCCGUGCCAGCAGCCGCGGUAAUACGGAGGGUGCAAGCGUUAAUCGGAAUUACUGGGCGUAAAGCGCACGCAGGCGGUCUGUCAAGUCGGAUGUGAAAUCCCCGGGCUCAACCUGGGAACUGCAUUCGGAACUGGCAGGCUAGAGUCUUGUAGAGGGGGGUAGAAUUCCAGGUGUAGCGGUGAAAUGCGUAGAGAUCUGGAGGAAUACCGGUGGCGAAGGCGGCCCCCUGGACAAAGACUGACGCUCAGGUGCGAAAGCGUGGGGAGCAAACAGGAUUAGAUACCCUAGUAGUC
rnacentral:rRNA from 1 species